rnacentral:rRNA from 1 species
AGAGGUGAAAGCCCGGGGCUCAACCUUGGAAGUGCCUGUGAUACUGGCUGUUUUGAGUACGGGAGAGGUGAGUGGAACUCCGAGUGUAGAGGUGAAAUUCGUAGAUAUUCGGAAGAACACCAGUGGCGAAGGCGACUCACUGGCCCGUUACUGACGCUGAGGCGCGAAAGCGUGGGGAGCAAACAG